rnacentral:lncRNA from 1 species
GAAAAAUCGUUUCAGCCGCCGCAAGUUCCAGAUCCACAAAAACCAAUCUAGAGCCUACUCAAGUGAAGAACACGAUCGUGGAGGGGUUCACCAUCUUCAUUGGUUCUCCUCCCAUGAUGCGUGAGCAGUUCAUAUCAAACCAACGGGUCCAUAGGCAGUAGCUAGAUGGCUUUCUCUCUCGUUUUGUUCUCAAUAUAAUGGUCUCUUGGAGAUCCAUAUGAUGUAACUCUUUCUAUUGCGG